UACGUAGGGGGCAAGCGUUGUCCGGAUUUAUUGGGCGUAAAAGAGCGUGUAGGCGCCAGGUAGGUCUGCUGUGAAAACUCGAGGCUUAACCUCGAGCUGUCGGCGGAAACCAUCUGGCUAGAGUCCGGAAGAGGAGAAUGGAAUUCCCGGUGUAGUGGUGAAAUGCGUGAUAUCGGGAGGAACACCAGUGGCGAAGGCGACUACCUGGCCUGU
rnacentral:rRNA from 1 species